rnacentral:rRNA from 1 species
UACGUAGGGUGCGAGCGUUUGUCCGGAAUCAUUGGGCGUAAAGCGCGCGUAGGCGGCCCUGUAAGUCCGCUGUGAAAGUCGGGGGGCUCAACCCCUCGGAUGCCGGUGGAUACUGUCGGGCUUGAGUACGGAAGAGGCGAGUGGAAUUCCUGGUGUAGCGGUGAAAUGCGCAGAUAUCAAGGAGGAACGACCGGUGGCGAAGGCGGGGUCUCUGGGCAGUAACUGACGCUGAGGAGCGAAAGCGUGGGGAGCAAACAGG